GGUCAAUCCAGGUACGUAACAUUAGCGAGAGGAGGACAGAGCGUCUGGUCAAUCCAGGUACGUACAUUAGCGAGAGGAGGACAGAGCGUCUGGUCAAUCCAGGUACGUAACAUUAGCGAGAGGAGGACAGAGCGUCUGGUCAAUCCAGGUACGUAACAUUAGCGAGAGGAGGACAGAGCGUCUGGUCAAUCCAGGUACGUGCCAUAUGUUCACAUUACAAAUGUACACAUGCAAUCAUGGUGUCUUAAUAUGUAGAAGAUUUAUGUAGAUUUUACCGUCAAUCUUAAGUUAAUACAUAUGCCUUGUUUAUGCAUCAAUACGGGUCUAAAAUCAAUUAAGCAUAAUUAGUAAUUUAGUGUAGUGAUUGUUUUUCACCGCAGAGAAGUUACAUACAUUUUUUAAAGCUGCUGGUCAUAGCAAAACGGAAGACCUCUAUAUAAUUAAAUUCCCGAUGUGAGCUUGUAUUUCAUCAAUUGAAAUGUAGCAUGUUAUAUCGACAGUGUUUAUAU